rnacentral:lncRNA from 1 species
CUUCUUCUUUCUCCUCCUUGGCUGAUCAUAGACACAGCAGAGACCCUGCAGGGACGGAUAACCUGCGUUUUAGAUGCUGGGAGACGGGGACAUGCCACUCAGUAAGGAAUGAUGAAAAAUAAAGUUUCCCUGAUUAGACAAGACCCGCAGAUCACUGGGAGUAGAAUCUGAAACUGUUCUCUGUAUUGCUCAAGAAGUCAUUCUCCACACUCAUCAGAGAGCUGAUGUCACCCCAUCCCUAC